CUUCAGGAUAGGGCAGAGGCAAAGUGGAAAUGCAGGCUGACGCUGGCUGGCAUCUGCGGGAUUGGUUCCUACAGGUUUAAUAUCGCUCGAGCUAAUAGCGUACAUGUUGUUGUGAAGUCAAGCGCCACUAGAACCGACUAUUAAGACUGGCAACAGGGAACCAAAGGCAAAGUACUUGGAACAAAUGUAUGGCUUUUCUCCAAGACAGGCUGGGAAAGCAUGCCCCAUCAAGAGACUAGUUCUGGUGUGCGCCUAAAACAAUGUGACAGCGCUGGAGAGCAGAAUGCGGAGUGUCUUGCAUCAGUGCUAGAAAAAUCCUGGUCACGUCUCUGCUGUGUGUCUGCGACAGGAGCUGUCCUUGGCAAGGUCAUGAGGAAGAUUUCAGACACAGGUCAGUCUACUGAGAGAUGCAGGGGGCAAAUAAUACUUGCAGCCCUUCAUGCAAACUCAAUCUCUAAUCUCCCAAUCUCCAGAUCCUUUCCAAGAGGACCUGUCCUAUCUGGACUCUUUAUUCCAGGUUUCUAAGUGUGUUCAAGGAUGAAAAUUAACUUACAGGGAACUUCUUCUCCAAAGGUUGAGAGUCAAGGUCGCCCAUCUCUACAUAGUCCUUCUUCCUACUAGGUGCAUGGAUGGGGGCCGUUGACUCCUAAUAGCCUAUAGUGAACAUAAGUAUCUCAUGCUGCUAGCCUUCUCCAUCAGACUCUUAGAAAUCAAAUGCUGAAAAUAUUUCUUCAUCUUUCCUGGGGAUGGAAAGGGCAUUCUUAAUUUUUAUAUUUAAAUUACAGCUAAUAUUAAUUAAGUGCUAAUAUAUAUUAAGGCAUGUAUUAUAUGUAUAUGUGUAUAUACACACACAUAUACACACACACACACACACACACACAUAUAUAUAUACACACACACACGGCAAUAUUUUAGGGACUUUGCAUGUUUUAAUUGAUUUGUCUUCUUAAAAUCCUAUUAUUCCAAAUAAUUAUUUUUGAAACAAAACCAUAUUUUUGAAACAAAACCAUAUUUUGAAGUACAUUGAAAUACAUACUGAAAAGCUACACUGGGUAUCUCAGAAUGUCAACUAGAAUGACCAAUACCAAAACCUACUCUAGUAAAAUUGAUGGACCUUAAAAAAGAAAAAGAAAAAUCUACAAAACAACAUGUAAUUUAUACAAGAAAAACCAGACCAUCAUCAGACUUUCUAUCAAAAUGAAAAUAUAAUACAUAUUCAAAGAAAACAUCAGGCAAAGAUUUUACACCCAGCAAAACUAACUUUGAAGCAUAACUAGAACUAACUAAUACACAUGCAAUUUAUUAUUGUCCCAAUGAGCUUUUUCUAAGGAAGCUACUGGAGAAUGUUCUUCGGACAGCCAAGGUGACCAGCAAUACACUGACUUAAGAACAGCUGGCAAACAUUUGGCAUAUUGUCACUUUAAGACUACAUGAAGUUCAAAAGGAGGAGAGGAUAGUGUGUAGCAGAUACGUGCUAUGAUGGUGUAGGCCCUAGAUGAUGAUUAAAAGUGGGGGGAGGACGAGAUUGAGACUGUAAGUGUUUUCAUUAAGCAUGCUGGUGGGGGCACUAUUAGCUUGCUUUCUAAGACUGUUGCAUGUACUUUGUAAAUAAUUAUGGUUUUUCUAAUUUUACCCCCCCAGUGUUCUUCAGAACUAAGAUCCUUGGUGUGUAAGAAAGAAGAUACAGAUGUAAUAUAGAAAAGUUUAAGUAAAAGCCCUCUAACUUUGCAUUUAAAUUGUCUGUAUGAACUUCUGAGGUAUUUUAACUUGUAUAAAUGUUUUCUAGAUGUAUCCAAUAAAAAUGCUAUAUAAAUAAUGAUCAACAGAGAGGCAACACACCCCCUAGCAUCCAGUGAUUGUACGGAAGCAUCAGACCCCCUGAGGGAUAUCAAGGAUUCUUGGAGAAAUGGCUGACUCCAGGUCUGCAGUAGGAAAUAGACAUAAUGGACCUGGAAUAGCCUGUCACAUUAGAUAUCAAGGAGGUUCUCAAAGAGUCAUAGCAGGAGGGUUCAGAAGAGGCCUCCACUGAUCAAAUAUGGAACAAUUUGAGCUUGAAUAAAAGUAAUUAUAAAGGGGAAUCAAGCAUUUAUACUGACUUGUUCCUAAGUACUAUAUCACUGAGUAACCAGAGGAUAUUUUUUUCCCCAAAAUACCCCAUGAAUAAAUAAAGAAGUCAUAGAAGACAACACUGACAUUUUGCACCCACUAAAGAAUUAAUGGAUUGAAGGUUUGACAUGAUGGCUGUGAAGAUUCCAGAAAAAUUGACAGCAAAAUAUUAUCUGCCUCCUAUUGGAAGACCACUCUGUCGCUCAUUAGAAGAAACCAAUAGUCUUGCAAAAGAGGCCAACCCUGAAGUGGAAUCCAGGAAAUUUAGAGUAUGGGAAGCACGUACAGCUCAAAUGACCCAGGUCCUUUAAUAAAUAAGUUAAAAGGAUGGUGGGGGGAGGGGGCAUGUAGAUUAGAAGAGAUCUAAUACACAUGUCAAUUUCUAUGGGAAAUUGUUCUAUGGGAAAGACCAGACUUCUGGUUUCAGUUGAUGGGGGAUGCGCUCUCCCUCUCCCACUGCCUAUAGCCAAAAUCCUGGAAAGAAUAUACAAAGCGACUGACUGUCUGAGGACUGUGCAAAUAAACCACACUAGGUGCACUGAGGGGGGAUUUAAGAUCCUGAAAACGGUGACUAUGGAGGCGGCAUUGCUGCUUUUUUGGUUUUGAUUUGUUUUUCUUCUUAUAGCUCCCUGAUUAGUAUCGGGGGAGCAGAUCCUGGAACUGUGCUACAUGCAUGGGCAGAGAAAGUUCCAGGAGACACUCCUUUAUUUCUAAGCAGUGGUUGAGGACAGGUGGGGCCUUACAGGAUGCAUAGGGGAAGUUUCUGCGACUUUCUUCCUGCUCUCUUCUGGUUCUUCCAUGAGGCAGUACAGGGAAGAUGCGCCGCGGGAGCCGUGCUGGCAGCAGCAGGGGUGCAGAAGUACCUAAGACCCCAAGUGUUCUGGAACAACUAGGUCCUGGUGUAAAGUACCCCAAGGUACCCUGAAACUGAAGAAAAGAAGCAGACGGAUUCGAGACUGCAGGGCGCAGUUAUUGAGGGAUUCACUGAUAGAAACACAGACUGGGAGGCAGCAUCACCAAGUGGAUUCCUGCGAUUUGGAUCAGGAAGGGAGGUGUAUGUAAAGACUGGUUAGGACAAAGUGACUUCAUCCAAAUUGUAAUCUAACUGGUUUAUCUUAAGCAAAUAUCAAAGAGUCAGGCACAUUUUUGGCACCAGGAUCUCAAUGUAAAGAUCCACAUACCACUGUGAUGGUUUUGUUUGUUUACAGUAUACUGGGAACAAUGCACAGAAAACGGUAAGGGUCACUUAGAGCAAUCAGGGUGGUUAUGAUUCAAGAUGGCUGCAGUCAUGUCAAGUUGAAUCCAUGCUCUGAGAGAGAAAAGUCCUUCUGCUUGAGGAAAGGAAGAGACAAAAAGGAAUCCCUGUUAUCUGGUACAGAGAAAGUUGUUGCUGUUUGCUAUGGUCUAGAUAUGAGGUAUCCCCAAAAGCUCGUGUGUGAGACAAUGCCAGAAAUUUUAGAGGUAGCUGCUUUUGAAGUAAGGGAGGAAGUUGUUUGAGGAAGAAACAUGGAGGAGAUUUUAAGAUGGCUGACAAAGUUCUGUUUCCUAACCUAAUAAUCAUUCAUUAGGCUACACACUUGUGUGGGUUUCUGUAUCUAUAACUUAUUUAGCAAUAAAAGUUACAUAGAUAGUCAAUAAAAUUUCAACAAAAAAUCCAAUAUAGUUUUAUGUAGGACUUUUUCAAGUAAAGAUGACAAACAGUAACAAUGACCACAAGAGCUAGGGAGAUUGCCAUCCCAGAUAUCCAAAAUGAUCACUCUUAAGAUAAUUUGUACAAUGUGGUUUUAAUUUAGGAAGAGGGGUGUUGAACAGUGGAAUAGAACAGAGUUCUGAAGCCCAGGCAGCCUAUCUGGCAACUUGAAUGGUACAGAGUAGACAUUCAAGAAUUGGAGGAAAGAUGGAUUAUUUAAUUAGUUGUGCUGGAGAACUGAUUAUCCAGAUUUUAAAAAUUACAUCUCUGUCUCAUAUGCUAUGCAAAUAUAAUUUCCAGUUAGAUUAAAAAUUAAAUGUGAAAGGCAAAAAUUAUAAAUACUUAGAAGAGAAUAUCAUUAUUACUUCCACUCAGGGAAGCAUUUCUUAAGCCUCAAAGAGCACAAAGCCUAACAGGAAAAACAUGUGCUUUGAAAUAAAGAACAUAUAUUUACCACAGAGUGUAAGUUAAAAAAAAUCCAUAAAUUAGCAGAAGGUAUUUAAAAAGUUUUGAUCUAUGUAAGAUUAGUAUCCAGAAUAUUCAGAAUAAAAGGUAAGUGAAAUGCCACUGUCCACUAAAGCAAUUGUCAAAAAUCCCUAAGAUAACACCAAAUACUGACAACGGCAGAGAAUAUCAGGAACUCACCUGCUGCCGUGGGAAUGCAAAAAGUGGUAUAACCACUUUGGAAAACAAUUUGCACUGCUUCACAAUGCAAGAAAAGUCAGGAAUAUGGAGCAUAAAUUCGGAAUAAUGGCCGCCUUUGUGAGAGGAAGAGAGAACAUUUGCUUGAAGCUUUAAUGUGCUGAUGAUGUUCUGUCUCUUAAGCUGGAUGGUGCGUGUGAGCAUUCGUAGUGUUAAUGUAACUUGAACUCUCCAGGUAUGUUUUGUAUACUCUUUUGAAUGUGUGAUUUAUUUCACAGUGAAAAAGAAAACAUUUUAAUGCAAUAUUACCUGCAACCUGUUCAAAUAUACUGAACAAUUAUAUAUUCUUUAUUCAAGUUAUGUUUUUCUAAACACCUGUUUUAUACUCAGGAUGUGUAAGGUCUUUUGAUGUCCACGAGAAAAGUACAGUAUUAUUAAAAUGUUUACAUGGAGAAUGUAUUUGUUUAUUAUUUGUGUGAAAAGUGGAAUAGAAAGUAAGAAAACUACAACGCUGGUGGAAUGCUCAAAGAAUUAGAAUCUAGUUCACGAGAUGAGCAAACAAGUAGAAG
rnacentral:lncRNA from 1 species